GACGUAGGGCGCGAGCGUUGUCCGGAUUUAUUGGGCGUAAAGAGCUUGUAGGCGGUUUGUCGCGUCUGCCGUGAAAAUUCGAGGCUCAACCUCGAACUUGCGGUGGGUACGGGCAGACUAGAGUGUGGUAGGGGAGACUGGAAUUCCUGGUGUAGCGGUGGAAUGCGCAGAUAUCAGGAGGAACACCGGUGGCGAAGGCGGGUCUCUGGGCAGUAACUGACGCUGAGGAGCGAAAGCGUGGGGAGCGAACAGG
rnacentral:rRNA from 1 species